rnacentral:rRNA from 1 species
UACGUAGGGGCCAAGCGUUGUCCGGAUUUAUUGGGCGUAAAGAGCUCGUAGGCGGUUUGGACAGUCGGGUGUGAAAUCCCGGGGCUUAACCCCGGAACUGCAUUCGAUACUGCCUUGCUCGAGUACUGGAGAGGAGACUGGAAUUUACGGUGUAGCAGUGAAAUGCGUAGAGAUGGGUAGGAACACCGGUGGCGAAGGCGGUCUUCUGGGACGUCCUUGACGCUGAGGCGCGAAAGCUGGGGGAGCGAACGGG